rnacentral:rRNA from 1 species
AGAACGAACGCUGGCGGCAUGCCUAACACAUGCAAGUCGAACGAUCUCUUCGGAGAUAGUGGCGCACGGGUGCGUAACGCGUGGGAAUCUGCCCUUGGGUUCGGAAUAACAGUUGGAAACGACUGCUAAUACCGGAUGAUGACGUUAAGUCCAAAGAUUUAUCGCCCAGGGAUGAGCCCGCGUAGGAUUAGCUAGUUGGUGAGGUAAAGGCUCACCAAGGCGACGAUCCUCAGCUGGUCUGAGAGGAUGAUCAGCCACACGUGGGACUGAGACACGGCCCAGACCUCCGUACGGGAGCAGCAGGUGGGAAUA